ACGUAGGGGGCCAGCGUUGCUCGGAAUUACUGGGCGUAAAGGGUUCGUAGGUGGUGCGGUAAGUUGGGAGUGAAAUCUCUGGGCUUAACUCAGGGGCUGCUUUCAAAACUGCCGUGCUCGAGUGCGAGAGAGGUCAGUGGAAUUGCAGGUGUAGCGGUGAAAUGCGUAGAUAUCUGCAGGAACACCCGUGGCGAAGGCGGCUGACUGGAUCGCAACUGACACUGAGGAACGAAAGCUAGGGGAGCAAACAGGA
rnacentral:rRNA from 1 species